UCCGCCGUAGCGUAAUUGGCAACGCAGCGGGUUUUGGUCCCGAAGACUCCAGGUUCGAGCCCUGGCGGCGGAG
rnacentral:tRNA from 1 species